AGAGUUUGAUCAUGGCUCAGGACGAACGCUGGCGGCGUGCUUAACACAUGCAAGUCGAACGGAAAGGCCCUUCGGGGUACUCGAGUGGCGAACGGGUGAGUAACACGUGGGUGAUCUGCCCUGCACUUUGGGAUAAGCCUGGGAAACUGGGUCUAAUACCGAAUAGGACCACGCGCUUCAUGGUGUGUGGUGGAAAGCUUUUGCGGUGUGGGAUGGGCCCGCGGCCUAUCAGCUUGUUGGUGGGGUAAUGGCCUACCAAGGCGACGACGGGUAGCCGGCCUGAGAGGGUGACCGGCCACACUGGGACUGAGAUACGGCCCAGACUCCUACGGGAGGCAGCAGUGGGGAAUAUUGCACAAUGGGCGCAAGCCUGAUGCAGCGACGCCGCGUGAGGGAUGACGGCCUUCGGGUUGUAAACCUCUUUCAAUAGGGACGAAGCGCAAGUGACGGUACCUAUAGAAGAAGCACCGGCCAACUACGUGCCAGCAGCCGCGGUAAUACGUAGGGUGCGAGCGUUGUCCGGAAUUACUGGGCGUAAAGAGCUCGUAGGUGGUUUGUCGCGUUGUUCGUGAAAACUCACAGCUUAACUGUGGGCGUGCGGGCGAUACGGGCAGACUAGAGUACUGCAGGGGAGACUGGAAUUCCUGGUGUAGCGGUGGAAUGCGCAGAUAUCAGGAGGAACACCGGUGGCGAAGGCGGGUCUCUGGGCAGUAACUGACGCUGAGGAGCGAAAGCGUGGGGAGCGAACAGGAUUAGAUACCCCGGUAGUCC
rnacentral:rRNA from 1 species